rnacentral:tmRNA from 1 species
AACCUUUACAAAUUAAUCAAAUUAAGCGAUAAUAGUAAGUGCUAAUAUAGCUAUAGUAAUAAACGUAAUUUAGAAUAGAGGUUGCGGACUCGGGGGCAGUACCCGACGCCUCCACCAAAACUUCCUAAAUAACUUGCUCCUAAAGGUAAUUUGUACGUCGAUCCGGUACUCGAAUCCUCACGUACUAUAUGUACACUACGGUUCGCAGUGAAGUGUCUCCUUCAAAUUCCUCUUUAUUAGCUGCGUUAUUUAGAAAAGUUUUAUAGCCUUAAAUGCUAAUACUGCUUGUAUUUUAAAAAUUGAAUUUUAUUUUAAUGGGUGUGUGGGCGGAGCGUAUACUUAAUACGUGAGCAUCACGAAUCCCUGAUAAAAUGAAAGAGCAAUUUUUAAAAGAUAAGUAGUAUUUUGAGGGGGCGAAAUAGGAUCGACGUGCCUAAUAAAAAAAUUGCUUUUACUCGGGAUGAUUCCGCCGCAGGCUUUUGCCUUACGGGUCAAAACAAAGAAACGCAAACGAUAACUAUCGUUCUGUAGGUGGUUCAGCUUUAGCUGUAGCUUAGUCCUACGCGGCUUGGGGGUUUGCCGGGCAACAGAAAAACCCUCAA